UACGAAGGGGGCUAGCGUUGUUCGGAAUUACUGGGCGUAAAGGGCGCGUAGGCGGCUUGUUGCGUCGACUGUGAAAAACCCGCGGCUUAACCGCGGGCUUGCAGUUGAUACGGGCAGGCUAGAGUUCGGUAGGGAGACUGGAAUUCCUGGUGUAGCGGUGAAAUGCGCAGAUAUCAGGAGGAACACCGGUGGCGAAGGCGGUCUCUGGCCGAUACUGACGCUGAGGAGCGAAGCGUGGAGCGAACAGG
rnacentral:rRNA from 1 species